GGCCUACCAUGCAAGUCGAGCGGAAACGACACUAACAAUCCUUCGGGUGCGUUAAUGGGCGUCGAGCGGCGGACGGGUGAGUAAUGCCUAGGAAAUUGCCUUGAUGUGGGGGAUAACCAUUGGAAACGAUGGCUAAUACCGCAUAAUGCCUACGGGCCAAAGAGGGGGACCUUCGGGCCUCUCGCGUCAAGAUAUGCCUAGGUGGGAUUAGCUAGUUGGUGAGGUAAUGGCUCACCAAGGCGACGAUCCCUAGCUGGUCUGAGAGGAUGAUCAGCCACACUGGAACUGAGACACGGUCCAGACUCCUACGGGAGGCAGCAGUGGGGAAUAUUGCACAAUGGGCGAAAGCCUGAUGCAGCCAUGCCGCGUGUAUGAAGAAGGCCUUCGGGUUGUAAAGUACUUUCAGUUGUGAGGAAGGGGGUAGCGUUAAUAGCGCUAUCUCUUGACGUUAGCAACAGAAGAAGCACCGGCUAACUCCGUGCCAGCAGCCCGCGGUAAUACGGAGGGUGCGAGCGUUAAUCGGAAUUACUGGGCGUAAAGNCGCAUGCAGGUGGUUCAUUAAGUC
rnacentral:rRNA from 1 species